GUGGGGAAUCUUAGACAAUGGGCGCAAGCCUGAUCUAGCCAUGCCGCGUGAGCGAUGAAGGCCUUAGGGUUGUAAAGCUCUUUCAGUGGGGAAGAUAAUGACUGUACCCACAGAAGAAGCCCCGGCUAACUCCGUGCCAGCAGCCGCGGUAAUACGGAGGGGGCUAGCGUUGUUCGGAAUUACUGGGCGUAAAGCGCACGUAGGCGGACUGGAAAGUCAGGGGUGAAAUCCCGGGGCUCAACCACGGAACUGCCUUUGAAACUCCCAGUCUUGAGGUCGAGAGAGGUGAGUGGAAUUCCGAGUGUAGAGGUGAAAUUCGUAGAUAUUCGGAGGACACCAGUGGCGAAGGCGGCUCACUGGCUCGAUACUGACGCUGAGGUGCGAAAGCGUGGGGAGCAAACAGGAUUAGAUACCCGUGUAGUCC
rnacentral:rRNA from 1 species